UCUAAAGUUUCUCUACUAAUAGUUUAAACACUGCACACUUUCUUCACGAUGAAAUAUUUCGCCGCUGUAUUUGCUGCCGUCCUGGCUCUGAGUAUCGCCUCCCCCCUCGAGGUCGAGGAGAGACAGGGUGAUAUGAUCAGUAUGAUAAUGGAAAUGGUCAAAGGUUUUAUCUGCAGCAUGGAUGUCGUGGAAGUCGAGGUUGAGGAGAGACAGAUGGACAUCAUCAAGAUGAUUAUCGGUAUGGUUAAAGGAUUCCUCUGCGAUUAGGACAACUAACAUGCUAAAAUUACUUAAUCAACUCAAUGCUCAUGUUCCUUGUUUGUUUGAAAAGUUAUCCUAUUUAUUUGUAGUGACAUAAGAUA